rnacentral:tRNA from 1 species
AAACUUAGGUUAACACAAANCCAUGGGCCUUCAAAGCCCAAAAUAAGAAC